rnacentral:rRNA from 1 species
UACGGGGGGGGUAAGCGUUGUUCGGAAUUACUGGGCGUAAAGGGCUCGUAGGCGGCCAACUAAGUCAGACGUGAAAUCCCUCAGCUUAACUGGGGAACUGCGUCUGAUACUGGAUGGCUUGGAUUUGGGAGAGGGAUGCGGAAUUCCAGGUGUAGCGGUGAAAUUCGUAGAUAUUCGCAAGAACACCAGUGGCGAAGGCGGCUUACUGGUCCGGUUCUGACGCUGAGGCGCGAAAGCGUGGGGAGCAAACAGG